rnacentral:misc_RNA from 1 species
GAUGAAGAACGUAGCGAAAUGCGAUAAGUAAUGUGAAUUGCAGAAUUCAGUGAAUCAUUGAAUCUUUGAACGCACAUUGCGCCCGCCAGUAUUCUGGCGGGCAUGCCUGUUCGAGCGUCAUUACAACCCUCAGGCCCCCGGGCCUGGCGUUGGGGAUCGGCGGAAGCCCCCUGCGGGCACAACGCCGUCCCCCAAAUACAGUGGCGGUCCCGCCGCAGCUUCCAUUGCGUAGUAGCUAACACCUCGCAACUGGAGAGCGGCGCGGCCACGCCGUAAAACACCCAACUUCUGAAUGUUGACCUCGAAUCAGGUAGGAAUACCCGCUGAACUUAAGCAUAUCAAUAAGCGGAGGA